rnacentral:rRNA from 1 species
AAUGAACGCUGGCGGCAGGCCUAACACAUGCAAGUCGAACGAGUGGCGGACGGGUGAGUAAUGUCUGGAAAACUGGCUGAUGGAGGGGGAUAACUACUGUAAACGGUAGCUAAUACUGCAUACCAUCAGAUGUGCUCAGAUGGGAUUAGCUAGUUGGUGGGGUAACGGCUCACCAAGGCGACGAUCCCUAGCUGGUCUGAGAGGAUGACCAGCCACACUGGAACUGAGACACGGUCCAGACUCCUACGGGAGGCAGCAUUGGGGAAUAUUGCACAAUGGGCGCAAGCCUGAUGCAGCCAUGCCGCGUGUAUGAAGAAGGCCUUCGGGUUGUAAAGUCCUUUCAGCGGGGAGGCGUUACCCGCAGAAUAAGCACCGGCUAACUCCGUGCCAGCCGCCGCGGUAAUAC